CCAUAAAUCAGGAUUCCUGUUCACAUCCUGGUUCUUUCGGGGGAAUGUGCAUGCGUUGUGGCAAAUCCCUUGAAGAGAAAUCAGGUGUAACAUUUGGCUAUAUACAUAAGACAUCUCUAAAGGCAGCCUCUUCAUCUUGGAGCAUAUGCAUACAAUGACCAAGUUGAGACCCUUUGUGCGGACCUUCUUAAAGGAAGCUAGUGAAAUGUUCGAGAUGUAUAUAUACACAAUGGGCGAUUGAUCCUACGCCCUGGAAAUGGCUAAGCUACUUGACCCCAAAAGAGAGUAAUUCCAUGAAAGAGUGAUCUCCCGAGACGAUGGUACCCAAAGACACCAAAAAGGACUUGAUGUGGUGCUGGGCCAAGAAAGUUAUGUACUGAUAUUAGAUGAUACAGAGAAGGCAUGGACAAAGCAUAAGGACAAUUUGAUACUGACGGAAAGAUAUCAUUACUUUGCUUCAAGCUGUCAACAAUUUGGAUUCUCUUGUAGAUCACUUUCUGAGAUGGAGACAGAUGAAAGCGAGGGUGAUGGAGCCCUUGCCACUGUUAUUGGAGUCCUCAAACGGGUCCAUACCAUAUUUUUU